GGCUAUAGCUCAGUUGGUAGAGUGCUUGCCUCACAUGAACAAGGCUCUGGGUUCAAUCCCCAGCACCA
rnacentral:tRNA from 1 species